CUUUGGUCUGUGGAAGAGCGGGCAAGCUGCCCAGGAUGACUGCGGGUUGUAAGAGACUGUUCUUUUAUAUCAUUUGACUCAAAGUUUGCCGAGGAGCAAGUCCAGGCAAGUCCUGGGCAAAGGUAGAGAAAUCUUCCGUCUGGAGGACACUGAUGGACGGGUCCUGGCUAAGCGUUGUGAAAUCCUCCAAGGAGCACAGAUGGACACGGCCAGGGGCAGCGAGAGAGAGAUGAGCUGCUGAUAACGGCCGGGAAACGGUCUUUGUGUGUGGGCUUACCUCGAGGAAGAUGGCCAUCUCAGGAGGUACGCACAGGGCUCUUGCUCAAGCACCCAGGGGUGUCAGUAGGCAGCAGAAAAUGGAGGAUAAAAGAGGGGCCAACAACCCCGACAGAUUGGGCGGGGUUUUCUGCCAUCUGAUCCUUCACCACGACGGACUGAGAGGGGUUUUCUGCCAUCAGAUCCCUCACCACGACGGACUGAGAGGGUUUUCUGCCAUCAGAUCCCUCACCACGACGGAUGGAGAGGGUUUUCUGCCAUCAGAUCCCUCACCACGACAGACCAGUGAAGGGUUUCUGCCAUCAGAUCCCUCACCACGACGGACCAGUGAAGGGUUUUUGGCCGUCAGAUCCCUCACCACGACAGACUCGAGGCUUUCUGCCUUCAGAUCCUUCUCUCCGGACCGUAUGCUGACGGACUUCCCUGGCCCUGCUACCUGAGACCUGCUGCUUCCUCCCUGACUUACUCUGCGGCUUCUUCCUGCACCCACCCGGUACUGCCCCCUCUGGUUGCCCAAGACCCCCCUCGCUCGCCUUCCCUUCCCCAUCGCCCCGAUCCGGAACAGUGUCCGUCCUCCCCUUUCUCCAUCUCCCUUAUUAACGUUUGUAAUAAACCGGUCGGACCAACAUUUGAACCGUUGUUUCUUAAUCUCACGCCGGGCAUACAUAUCUCAAAGAACCUCCUCUCCCUCCUACAAACUGGAGCAAGACAGGCACCUGAGCUGGGCCUCCUUUGGAGCGGCAGUAGCCCUAAUACCCUCGUGGCCAUACUCAGGUGUUUCCACAGCCACCAACCUCGUACCAACCCUCGUGUUCUUCGUACACGAGGCUGACUCCUCCUCCUCCUCCUUCACCAAGACACCAGGCUGGGAUCUCACCAGCGCAUCCCCCUCCUGCAAGCACC
rnacentral:lncRNA from 1 species